ACUCUCUGUGCGGAAAAUAUUGCCACACAAAGAAAAAGAAUCCGGAGAGACUGAAAGUCCGCAGGAGCAUAAUGCAUUCCAUAAGGGAAACUCACUGGGGAGACAGAGACUCUGGGGGAUAAAAAGUUGUGCGUAGUCCAGGCUACGACUUAAAAACUGUUGGGGACACGAGGGUAAUUCCAUAAAAAUAAAUCAAUGGAAAGACUCAAUCGGGGAUAAAGGGAAAAUCUGCAGGGGAAGCGGGUAAAU
rnacentral:lncRNA from 1 species